UCCUACGGGGGGCAGCAGUGAGGAAUAUUGGUCAAUGGUCGGGAGACUGAACCAGCCAAGCCGCGUGAGGGAUGAAGGUACAGAGUAUCGUAAACCUCUUUUGUCAGGGAACAAAGGCGGGGACGUGUCCCCGGAUGAGUGUACCUGAAGAAAAAGCAUCGGCUAACUCCGUGCCAGCAGCCGCGGUAAUACGGAGGAUGCGAGCGUUAUCCGGAUUUAUUGGGUUUAAAGGGUGCGCAGGCGGUCUGUUAAGUCGGCGGUCAAAGCCCGGGGCUCAACCCCGGCCCGCCGUUGAAACUGGCAGU
rnacentral:rRNA from 1 species